GAACAGAAGACAAUAAAAAUCAGCUGCAGUAUUCACUUAAGUUCUAAGGAAGGAAGCCAUUGACGCGACAAGCAGGCUCUUAUCCAGGGCUUCUUAUCAUCAGCCAGAGGAGCCUGCGCUGGAAAUGAAAUUCUGAGCCACAACAAGGAAAGGCUGCUUCCUUAAUUGAGCCUCUCCCUUUUGAAGUCGGCUCCCCACAGAGCCCGGAGCUGGCAGGUCCUGUGGCCAGCAUAACCCCUGUGUAAUCUCUUGCUCACCAGAAGCAGAUGCUGCACGGAGAAGGAGGCCUUUAUGAAAGGCGUUUAAUAAGGUUUCUCAACCUUGCAUAUGCCGGCCAGGUAGAGGGAGGGCCGGUUUUUCAGAGAAGCGACUGAUCAAAGACAUCAAGAUUCUGGUACUUAGGGCUUCCUUGCCAAUACACCUCAGUCAGGAUUCUGAAGUGGGGGGUCCUAGCACCCUGAACGACUUCCCAUCCAGUCUUGCUCCCCUCCCAUGCCCCUCAAAGCCCUGUCCAGCCCUAUUGCUUCAGGACCAAGUUCCUCCAUAUUGCAAUCCUUUAAACUAGGGUACACAAUUCUAUAAACAGAAAAACUUAGAUUGUCCUUCCUAAGAAUUUACAGGAGGACUCAAGACUCUCACCUCACCGUGUAAGCUAAGUGGACACUUUCUAGCUGGUUUUUAUUCUCUCCUGUUCUUUUUUGCUUAUUCUAUCCCUCCUACAGUAUGUUAAGAUGAAAAUACAUUAAAAUCUUUUGUGGAUUUUAAAAUGAGAAUUCUUAGGAUUUGCUCCAUGUACUCCCCAGGGAAUUCUCAUUUGAUUCUUUACGUAUGCUAAACACAAAGAACAAAGUGGCCAGCAAUAAUCAUGUCACGUUUAACCUUGAGCUUUGCAGAGGCAUGCUUGCCUGAGAGUCUGAGCUUUGGGCCUGAGGAUAUGGCUCGGUAGAGUCCUUGCCUGACACACACGAACACCAACACAGCACAAAUCAGGGUGUGGUGAUGUCCUCUUAUAAAGUCAGCUCUGUGGAAGGACUGGAAAUUCUCAGCCACAGAGUGAGUUAAGGCCAGUGUGGGAUACAUGAGGCUAUCUCAGACACACAAAAAUCUGGGCUUUGGAACUGAAUGGAAGUAGAUUAAAACCUUUGCUUUAUUACCGUCAGGGCAACACUGGAUCAGUUAUUUCCCCUCCUUGUGUCUCAGGUUUUUUUUUUUUUUUUUUUUUUCUGUAUGGUUAAGUUGAAAUGAUAUUUUGUGUGUAAAGGAAGUAACAAAAAAGUAUGAAAUUAACAUAUUAGUGUAAAA
rnacentral:lncRNA from 1 species